rnacentral:rRNA from 1 species
UGGGGAAUAUUGCACAAUGGGCGAAAGCCUGAUGCAGCGACGCCGCGUGAGGGAUGACGGCCUUCGGGUUGUAAACCUCUUUCAGCAGGGAAGAAGCGAAAGUGACGGUACCUGCAGAAGAAGCGCCGGCUAACUACGUGCCAGCAGCCGCGGUAAUACGUAGGGCGCAAGCGUUGUCCGGAAUUAUUGGGCGUAAAGAGCUCGUAGGCGGUUAGUCGCGUCUGCUGUGAAAACUCGAGGCUCAACCUCGGGCUUGCAGUGGGUACGGGCUGACUAGAGUGCGGUAGGGGUGACUGGAAUUCCUGGUGUAGCGGUGGAAUGCGCAGAUAUCAGGAGGAACACCGAUGGCGAAGGCAGGUCACUGGGCCGCAACUGACGCUGAGGAGCGAAAGCAUGGGGAGCGAACAGGAUUAGAUACCCUGGUAGUCCAUGCCGUAAACGUUGGGCACUAGGUGUGGGUCCAUUCCACGGAUUCCGUGCCGCAGCAAACGCAUUAAGUGCCCCGCCUGGGGAGUACGGCCGCAAGGCUAAAACUCAAAGGAAUUGACGGGGUC